rnacentral:rRNA from 1 species
AGUCGAACGGUUAAAGCAUCUUCGGAUGUGUAUAAAGUGGCGAACGGCUGAGUAACACGUGGGCAACCUGCCCUUUGCACUGGGAUAGCCUCGGGAAACCGAGGUUAAUACCGGAUACUCCAUAUUUGUCGCAUGGCGAAUAUGGGAAAGCUCCGGCGGCAAAGGAUGGGCCCGCGGCCUGUUAGCUAGUUGGUGGGGUAGUGGCCUACCAAGGCAAUGAUGGGUAGCCGGGUUGAGAGACCGACCGGCCAGAUUGGGACUGAGACACGGCCCAGACUCCUACGGGAGGCAGCAGUGGGGAAUCUUGCACAAUGGGCGAAAGCCUGAUGCAGCGACGCCGCGUGCGGGAUGAAGGCCUUCGGAUUGUAAACCGCUUUCAGCGGGGACGAGGCCGCAAGGUGACGGUACCUGCAGAAGAAGCCCCGGCUAACUACGUGCCAGCAGCCGCGGUAAUACGUAGGGGGCAAGCGUUAUCCGGAUUCAUUGGGCGUAAAGCGCGCGUAGGCGGUCUGUUAGGUCAGGAGUUAAAUCUGGGGGCUCAACCCCUAUCCGCUCCUGAUACCGGCAGGCUUGAGUCUGGUAGGGGAAGAUGGAAUUCCAAGUGUAGCGGUGAAAUGCGCAGAUAUUUGGAAGAACACCGGUGGCGAAGGCGGUCUUCUGGGCCAUGACUGACGCUGAAGCGCGAAAGCUAGGGGAGCGAACAGGAUUAGAUACCCUGGUAGUCCUA